AACUUUUCAACAACGGAUCUCCUUGGUUCUGGCAUCGAUGAAGAACGCAGCGAAAUGCGAUAAGUAAUGUGAAUUGCAGAAUUCAGUGAAUCAUCGAAUCUUUGAACGCACAUUGCGCCCUCUGGUAUUCCGGAGGGCAUGCCUGUUCGAGCGUCAUU
rnacentral:rRNA from 1 species